UGGAAUGCACAUUCAACAGACUGACUAGGAACACCGCGCUGCAUACUUAGAAACGGAUCUAUUUAAAAGACAGAAAUGUGUUUUUAUGGAUACAAUUGUGAUUUAGCAUCGAAACUCAUCGUCUUGAAUAAAAAGAUUAUAGUCUAUUAUCUGGGGAAACUCCAAAUACACAGUGUUCUUUGGAUGAAAACUGUAAAGUUCUCAAUAAUAUGGUAUUGUUGAUAUAUUAUACUAAUAUACUGGCAUGGACAGAAUGGAGUGAUACAGUGAAGGGAGAGAUAUCAUGGACCCAGUUUACCCUGAGGGCUAUUGUGUUCACUGGGUCAAAACAUUCCAGAGAAGUUAUCUCCGCUUAAAAACCAGUUGAAGUCAGCUCAGCACUCUGCUGCUUCGCACUCCGUAGCCGGGGUUACUCUAGGGCGUUCCACUUUGGCCCAAAUACUGAGCUAGAGUUCUGGGCUCCUCACUUUUCACUCUGUUCCGUCCCUCCCUGCCCAGCUUGAAUUUGUAAUCUUCUUAUUUAAACAUUAACGUCUCUGUGUUUGUGUUCCGUUAGUUAGUUAGCACAGUGACAAGAGUAGCUACCGGAUACAUGGUAAAGUAGCAACAUUACCCCUUGGAGGGGGGGGGUACUAGAAGGUAGUUUCACCCAUAACUAGGGCCAUAACCCUAUACUAUUUGAAGAAAACUUAUACCUACAACUUUGUCUGUCCCUGUAGGAGAACCCUUUUGGGUUCCAGGUAAAACUCAACUGGUAACACAAACUAGACAGGAAACACUUAGCUGCCCCAGAGGCUCCUGGGAGCAGGUCAGGGGGGACGUGGUAUGUGUUGAAGAGACGUCCCCACAGCAUAGAGACGACCCCAGUGCAUAGAGACGACCCCAGAGCAAAUAACCAAGGAGUGGUGACGAGCUCUAAUCAUCCUGACUUCAGGAAACAAGAGACUGGAGAUGUGCCUUAGCAACAGUACUGAGUGAGAGUACUGCCAUGAAAGACCAGAGGGAUAGCCCCUAAAGGUACUGUCUGUCUGCACUUGGCCCCUAACUACUUAGUGAGAGUACUGCCAUGAAAGACCAGAGGGAUAGCCCCUAAAGGUACUGUCUGUCUGCACUUGGCCCCUAACUACUGAGUGAGAGUACAGCCAUGAAAGACCAGAGGGAUAGCCCCUAAAGGUACUGUCUGUCUGCACUUGGCCCCUAACUACUUAGUGAGAGUACUGCCAUACAAGACCAGAGGGAUAGCCCCUAAAGGUACUGUCUGUCUGCACUUGGCCCCUAACUACUUAGUGAGAGUACAGCCAUGCAAGACCAGAGGGAUAGCCCCUAAAGGUACUGUCUGUCUCCACUUGGCCCCUAACUACUGAGUGAGAGUACAGCCAUGAAAGACCAGAGGGAUAGCCCCUAAAGGUACUGUCUGUCUCCACUUGGCCCCUAACUACUGAGUGAGAGUACAGCCAUGCAAGACCAGAGGGAUAGCCCCUAAAGGUACUGUCUGUCUCCACUUGGCCCCUAACUACUGAGUGAGAGUACAGCCAUGCAAGACCAGAGGGAUAGCCCCUAAAGGUACUGUCUGUCUCCACUUGGCCCCUAACUACUGAGUGAGAGUACUGCCAUGCAAGACCAGAGGGAUAGCCCCUAAAGGUACUGUCUGUCUGCACUUGGCCCCUAACUACUGAGUGAGAGUACUGCCAUGAAAGACCAGAGGGAUAGCCCCUAAAGGUACUGUCUGUCUCCACUUGGCCCCUAACUACUGAGUGAGAGUACUGCCAUGAAAGACCAGAGGGAUAGCCCCUAAAGGUACUGUCUGUCUGCACUUGGCCCCUAACUACUGAGUGAGAGUACAGCCAUGAAAGACCAGAGGGAUAGCCCCUAAAGGUACUGUCUGUCUGCACUUGGCCCCUAACUACUGAGUGAGAGUACAGCCAUGAAAGACCAGAGGGAUAGCCCCUAAAGGUACUGUCUGUCUGCACUUGGCCCCUAACUACUUAGUGAGAGUACAGCCAUGCAAGAAAGAGGGAUAGCCCUGCACUUGGCUUAGGUGGUGACUAUGCUGCGUCUCUGACCUACCAAAACAAUAACAAGUAGGCUACAACAAUACGAGGCAGACUGGCAUCCAGGCUUGUCACUACUGGCCCUGGCUUCUGGUGAGUAAUACUUGAUAGACCCGAGGAGACUGAUGGUUCACCUGUUCCCAAACCUCACUGACUCAACAAACAACCUACAAUCAGACAAACAAAAUGGCUGCCUUUUUCCAAGAAUGACAAAAGACAGUUGGCUACAGAUAACUUCAGGUUGAUAGAAGACGACGUGGAACAAACGUACUGCACUACGUCGGGAAUAGGGCGCGAUUUGGGACACGGAGGACGACUGUCCUGACUGACUGAGUCUAACAACCUGAAAGAAGGAAGCUGCCUGUGGUGUUAUUCAACAGAACCAAAACGGGAAAUGAGAGUCUGGCUGAUCUGGAACUUGACCGACCGACGGGGAAAACAACAAAGAAUGUGGGACACGAGGCGAGCCAGACCACUUUGAGAAGGAGAAUUGUGCGUGCGUCCGCGCGUCAGUGUGAAGAGAAUAGUUUUUAGCGACCUUCGAAAGAACAAACGACUCACCUAGGAAACCCGUCAGUCAGUCAGUCUGGCUGACACAUCAACCCAUUACAUUAAAGCUAGUUUUUGUUACAAACCCGAAAAGAGAAACGCAAUCAGCAUCAUAUCGAUAUAGAACAUACAGUGAGAGAAGAGGAAAAGUCUGUGGAUUUCAUGAGAUUAAAGAGAAGUGUAUAUGUUUCAUGAAUAAGAUUAAAGUGCUUCUGUUGUGACACGAGGCACUAAUUCUAACAAAAUGAACUGUCUCCCCUUUGACAUAAUGGCACUCCACUGUAAGGCUUUAUAUAGGGGAAGGAUUUUAUAGAGGGUCAAUGCAGAGCUGUGAUCUGCUCCUAGACUCCUUUUACACACUGACGUAACCAAUAUUAAAACUGGCUGCUUUUCAAGUCUUGAAGUUAAAACACUGGUAUUUUUAACACUGACACCUUUCUCCACGUUUGGCCAGACUGUUCACGUGACUCGUUUUAAUUUGCCCACAACAUAAUUCUGCUGGAAGGAGCUGUUACGCAACAGUGUUGACAGGGUCUUUGUGACCUGAAUAUCUCAGGUAAUAUCUUAACUGUGCUCGAGUCCUCUGGAAGGAAGCCUAGGUGGGAAGUUAUACCGCAAGAAGUAGAUAGACGAUAAAUGCAUGUUGGAGUGGAAAUGUGAAAUACCUUUUCACACCUUUUCUCUAUCCAGGCCAUAGUGGGGUCAGUGAGCUCUGUUCUGAAGCUAUUCAUCUUUUAGUGGUAGGCCUAUAUCAGUCUCGGAACUACUCUUUGGUUAGAUAUAGUAUGGUUACCACAGACACAGUUCAUUUAUGCUCCUUUAUGUAAUAACGAAUGACAUUUGUUAUCUUCAAAAUGCGUCAGCUCGAUGGUUUAACAGCGGUCUUAGCGUUAACCUCGAUGAGGUGUCAUGAGGCUCAUCCAGCAGUUGAUGUGACAUAAUAAGCCAAUUCAACCAACAAAAAAAAGUCAAUUAAUAGUCAAUGUCAGUUGAACGUUGAAAUAUGACAUUGGUAUAAUGUU